rnacentral:tRNA from 1 species
GUUAUUAUAGUGUAAUUUAAUACGCUACAUUUUCGUUGUAGAGAUAAAGAGUUUUCUUUUAAUAAUA